rnacentral:lncRNA from 1 species
AGAAACGUUGUUUAAGCUGUUGUAGUUGACCACUUCACUUAUUUUUUGUUCUUGCAAAAUAUCUUAGUCCACAUUUGUUUUUAGCCAUUUCAUAUUUUCUCUUGACGGUUUUAGGCUAAAUUUUAGCAGAUUAUGGCCGCUAUGUAUCAACACUAAUGGAACAUAAGAGCCUUUAUGAAGUAAAUCUCCCUAAUUAACCUUUGUGGCUUGCUUAAAGAUUGAUGAUAUGUUAAAUUACAUGUCAUCCUAGAGAAACUAUUGUUAUGGAUGGUGGGUGUUUAAUGCAGAAGAUAAGGAUGGUGGGUGGCGGUGCAAAAGUGCUACCCUGCCACCUGCCGGUGGUGAAAGACCACCACGCGCGACCCGCACACAUUGUCGUACCUUUAGGUAUGUGACCUGGAUUGGUAAAAACUGCAAAAGGAGUUGUAGACGUGAUUGGAACAUAUGUAUUUUGGAAUGGAUGAGCCAUCACUUGAUUUUCUAAAAACAUCUAAAAGUGCUAGUACCUGGAUCAACAUUUCAUUCAGUAUCCUUCACAUGACU